rnacentral:rRNA from 1 species
UAAGGAAUAUUGGUCAAUGGACGCAAGUCUGAACCAGCCAUGCCGCGUGAAGGAUGAAGGUCCUCUGGAUUGUAAACUUCUUUUAUCUGGGACGAAAACGGGAUUUUUAUCUCAAUUGACGGUACCAGAGGAAUAAGCACCGGCUAACUCCGUGCCAGCAGCCGCGGUAAUACGGAGGGUGCGAGCGUUAUCCGGAUUUACUGGGUUUAAAGGGUGCGUAGGUGGGCUUAUAAGUCAGUGGUGAAAUCCUACAGCUUAACUGUAGAACUGCCUUUGAUACUUUUAUUCUUGAGUUCGGGAGAGAGAGACGGAAUUCCAGGUGUAGUGGUGAAAUACGUAGAUAUCUGGAAGAACACCAGUUGCGAAGGCGGUCUCUUGGUCCGACACUGACGCUGAGGCGCGAAAGCGUGGGGAGCAAACA